AUGAUCAGUCAUUUCAGAGCCACCGAAUCAAGCUGUAAAGAGAAGGAAGUUGUUGCUAGAAGCUUUACGAAGAGUGUUUCGGUUAGGGUGACCAGAUGUCCCGAUUUUAUAGGAACAGUCCCGAUAUUUGGGGCUUUUUUUUUAUAUGGGCUCCUAUUACCCCCCACCCCUGUCCCGAUUUUUCACACUUGCUAUCACCCUAGUUUCGGUAGCUUGCCAGUCCUGCUCCUGCUGAGGUCUGAGAAGAUUCUGGAGUGGCCAUACAGAACACACAAGUGUGCUGGUAAUUUUGAUGGGGGAGUUCAGGAGAUGGAGCGCAACGUGAUUCAAGACAAAAGAGUCUCCAUUCUGAUUACUGCUCCAUUGUGUGACAGAGCAAAACAUUUCAAUGUGGUUGAGACUGAAUUUGAGUCAAGAAAAUACAAGUUGCAGUCCCUUUUCUUUGGGAACAUUUUCUUCGUGGUUCAGCAGGACAUGGAGGCUGAUGGUGCAUGAAAACAUAUCACAUUGGCUUGCCUCCCCCACAAGCAGGCAGUUCUAGAAAAGAGUAAAAGGAUCCAACCAGUAAACAGAGACCUUAAAAACUGAGGCUAGAAAUGAGAAGGGAAUUUCCCUUUACAUUGUAAGGUUCUUUGAUGUUCUGAAGUUCCACUGAAAUGGUAACACUUCAAAACUUGGUAAGCAGGGAAGCACUAAUGGUGAAGUUCAGGAGCAGGCAGGGGACUGAGAGAAAAUUAGUUAUUGCUGAGUCUGCCCAAAAUGCAGAGAGAGAGACUAAACAAUAGAAAAACCCUCACUACGCUGUGGUGGGAAGUGAAGGGGUGUGUGUAUAUAAGACUGAGAGAGACAGUGAGAGAGACUAAGUGUUUCUUACGGUCCCUCAUCAAUUGGAGGAGGAUAGAAGAAAGGGUGACCAUAUGACACACGUGCCAGCCCUGCUCCCACAUUCCUGUCCUGAGGUUCCUCUUAAUAGGUAUAUAAGGUUUUGCACAUUUUGUACUGCAGAUCCAAGUAUGUAUGAAGAGCUUUUAAAACCAGACUAUGGAUUCUGUUUAAAGGAAAGCUCACAUGACAUAAUAGCAACAGUGACAAAUCGAACGAGAGAGAACAUAUUUGAGAGAGUUUAUCAAACAAGAGGAUGAGGUGGGUAGGAAGUUUAUGUAACCCAUGUGCCUAAUAGGGAGAUAUCGCUUUCAGAGACCUAUGUGGAGGAUAGGAGUGAGUUGUGUCUGGGUUAUUAUUGCUAGGCAGGAGGGAUAGCUCAGUGGUUUGAGCAUUGGCUUGCUAAACUCAGAGUUAUGAGUUCAAUCCUUGAGGAGACCAUUUGGGGAUUGGCUCCUGCUUUGAACAGGGGUUUGGACUAGAUGACCUGUUGAGGUCAAUUCUAUUAGCCAUCCAGAAGCCUCUGGAUUUUGGGUGGGGUAAUUUGGGGUAUGCUUCAACAGACUCCAUAAGGGUAGCUGCUUUACAAAGGGCCAUCUGUGAGUUGGGAGAAGCUGAGCCAAGGAGCAGAAAGCAGGCUGUUGUCCCUAACUCUGAAGCAUUUUGCAGCAGGUUAGUGAUAUUGUUAACCCUCAAACAGGGAAACAUGGGCAAUGUUAAUAAUAGCAAGGGGAAAUUAGAAGGGAAAAAUAAUUUAUUCUAUUUUAAUUGUAUGCUUUGAAUGUUGUUUUGAUUUUAGCCAAACUGUUCUAGUUAAAUUGUCUCAACUAGUGUGAUUCAUCAACUUUCCUUUAAAUGUAGUAAUGGGGAAAGAGUCAUUUAUAUUUUGUUAUUCUCAGAUUUGUAUUUUCUUGUAACAGGGUUUUUUUUUUUAAUCUACACUUAACUGAUUAAUCAGUUAGCUGACUGGCUAACAGUGAUUUCAGAAGAGGAAGGGUCUGCAUGGAUUCCAAUUGAAGAUUCCUACAAGCAAGUAGAGGGAAGAUGUUGUUUUUUGACUCCGCAGACUAGAUUUGGUGAUCAAAGACUCUAACUGAGAUUCAGGUGAACUCAACCUACGCUUUUGGGAACUCUGUUUCUUCUCACUGUUUCGGUGGAGACUGAACUGUUGAGAUUUUAUGUAGAUCUAUGUAGAUUAUAAAAUAACCAUGUUAUGUUAUAAAAAUUAAAUUAUUAUUUGUUUAUCAUAAGAUUUUAUAAAGUAUUUAAUUAAAUUCAUUUCUUUAGUUCCUUUUGGGAUUUGAAUGUGGUGAGGCUGACCCUGUGCAAUCCUUGCUGAAAAUCCUUAGAGACUGAAUUCUUGGUCUCCGGCUACUUUUCUAUGGGAAUUGGGAUUUUUUAGGCACUGGAGGAGGGCAGUGAAGUGAAUUCUAGCCCACCCAAAGGUUACAUUUACCCAUGUGCUUUACUCCCUAAGGGCUUGUUUACAUGGUAGAUCACUGUGCGGCAAUGUGAAUCUACAGUGCACUGGCUCACCGUGCAGUAAUGUUCUGUGUGGACACUGUUUUGAAAGACCAAGUGCAGCUUGACAUACAAUACUUUCAAGUAUUUUUCCAUAAGGUGGGUUGCAAAUGUUAUCAUGAACUUGUAAGUGCUUGUUAUAUGUCUGCAGGCUGGCAAAAAUCUAAAACAUUAAUAUUUUAGCAGGAGAAUGCUAUCCUCGUGCCCUGAUGACUUUCAUACCUCAGGAGUUUGGUCCUCCAUGAGAGCGUUCCUCCUAAGUGAUGGUGAGAUCCAGUCUCUGGUGCCCUUGAAGAAGACUUGGUUUUCAUUUUAAAAAUGAAAACCAUGUUUCUAGCCACUUCCCUGGGCUGCACUUCUCUAGGAUGAAGCUGGUGGUUUAGCAACCUGAAUGGAACUUGGAGAGAGGAGCACAGGUUGCAGGAGGGAAGAGUUUGGAGAAAGCACCAAGAAGUCACUCUGUGUGUACAUGGCUGGAAUGCUAACUGCAGUUGGGGCACCUCUGUAAGUUGUUCUCUUAAUAAAGAACCAGUUUAGUUUUAGAAACA
rnacentral:lncRNA from 1 species